ACUGACCAAUAUUUGGCUAAAGUAGCCGAGAAUAGCAUGCGGGAAACCGCUCCCAUGGUUGAAUUAACACACGUUUUGUUUCCUCAGAGCAUAGCCUAGAGCAGGAGCACACAGGAAGAUGGCACAUGGGCACAGAAUUGUCCCAAAAUGCAGCUUGAAGUGGAGAAUGGGGCUGUAUGGAGAGAAGCCCCUUCUGCCUGGGGACUGUAGGAGUUCUUUGCUGGGGAAAACAUUUUGAGUUCUGUUGUAGAGGAUGAGAAAACUUUCUAGAUGUAAAUGUAAAAGUUAAGUAUGUUCUUGGCAUGAGUCAAUUGAAGAAAAAGGGAC
rnacentral:lncRNA from 1 species